rnacentral:rRNA from 1 species
UCGGGAAUUUUGGGCAAUGGGGGAAACCCUGACCCAGCAACGCCGCGUGAAGGAUGAAGUAUUUCGGUAUGUAAACUUCGAAAGAAUAGGAAGAAUAAAUGACGGUACUAUUUAUAAGGUCCGGCUAACUACGUGCCAGCAGCCGCGGUAAUACGUAGGGACCAAGCGUUGUUCGGAUUUACUGGGCGUAAAGGGCGCGUAGGCGGCAUGACAAGUCACUUGUGAAAUCUCUGGGCUUAACCCAGAACGGCCAAGUGAUACUGUCGCGCUAGAGUGCAGAAGGGGCAAUCGGAAUUCUUGGUGUAGCGGUGAAAUGCGUAGAUAUCCGGAGGAACACCAGUGGCGAAGGCGGCUCCCUGGACCCAAACUGACGCUGAGGCACGAAAGCGUGGGUAGCAAACAGGAUUAGAUACCCAAGUAGUCCCUGAGCGGGCUGGCAAGGCGCAU